GACGUAGGGUGCAAGCGUUGUCCGGAAUUAUUGGGCGUAAAGAGCUCGUAGGCGGUUUGUUGCGUCGGCUGUGAAAUCCCGAGGCUCAACCUCGGGUCUGCAGUCGAUACGAGCAAACUAGAGUGUUGCAGGGGAGACUGGAAUUCCUGGUGUAGCGGUGAAAUGCGCAGAUAUCAGGAGGAACACCGGUGGCGAAGGCAGGUCUCUGGGCCACUACUGACGCUG
rnacentral:rRNA from 1 species